rnacentral:tRNA from 1 species
GCCGUUGUAGCUCAGUUGGCAGAGCAUUUCCAUGGUAAGGAAAAGGUCUCCGGUCCGAUUCCGGACAACGGCU